rnacentral:rRNA from 1 species
GUAGGGUGCGAGCGUUAUCCGGGAAUCAUUGGGCGUAAAGAGCUCGUAGGCGGUUCAGCAAGUCGGCUGUGAAAUUCCGAGGGCUCAACCUCGGAACUGCGGUCGAUACUGCUGUGACUCGAGUCCGGUAGAGGAGAAUGGAAUUCCCGGUGUAGCGGUGAAAUGCGCAGAUAUCGGGAGGAACACCAGUAGCGAAGGCGGUUCUCUGGGCCGGCACUGACGCUGAGGAGCGAAAGCGUGGGUAGCAAACAGGAUUAGAUACCCUGGUAGUCCACGCCGUAAACGUUGGAUACUAGGUGUGGCGUUCCGACCAACGGUCGCCGUGCCGAAGCUAACGCAUUAAGUAUCCCGCCUGGGGAGUACGGCCGCAAGGCUA